AGAAGAAGGUGUAAGCAGCUGGUAAAUGUGAAAAGUAAAGAUGGUUUCACCACCCAGUGUCUUUCAGACUGUGAUAAAUGCAAUGGCCAACGAUGAAGGAUUAGUAGAGAAGAAAACUGUGUGACAUUAAAAGAAAACCAGUGAGAUAAAAUCAUAGAAAAUGUAUGAUGAUUCAGGAUGUGGUCAUUUGUGACUUUAAAACAGGAAUUGUCAUCACCAAUAGACAAUUUCACAUUCCUAAGAGUUUUCUCCAAUUGUCGGCGUAUUGCUCAUUUUUCCCACUUUGUCCUUUGUCCUGUUCUGUGGAUGCCCUAAGACAGUGUCUACCCAUCACUCCAUCUGAAAUCACUUGUUCUGUGCAUAUUUCUCUCUCAAACUUAAACUACAGAGAGCCUGUGGAUAGAGGAUGAAGAGUGACCUUGGACUAAUUUUCUAGGUCAAAGAUCAUAGGUGAUGUGAAGAAAACCAGGAAACUGAUGUUGAAAGAAGUACUUAAUGACCCUUAUGAAUGGACUUAAAUGUGAAAGACUGUUCCAUUGUUUAUCUAAGAUAUAUGAAUUUAUUUAAUAUUUUGAUAUCAUUGAAAAAUUCAGUUACAGUUUUUGUACAUCAAAUGAAUUAUUAAACAUAUAAAAUGGUAA